rnacentral:piRNA from 1 species
UCCAAACUGAGGGUGUGAACUGUUGGU